GGCUUAGUAGCUCAGUGGUUUAGAGCAGGGGAUUCAUAAGCCCAAGGUCGUAAGUUCAAGUCUUAUCUAAGCCA
rnacentral:tRNA from 1 species